CCCCAGGUCAGGCGGGACUACCCGCUGAGU
rnacentral:rRNA from 26 species